GACGAACCGUGCGAACGUUGUUCGGAUUCACUGGGCUUAAAGGGCGCGUAGGCGGACGGUCAAGUCAGGGGUGAAAUCUUUCAGCUCAACUGGAAAAGUGCCUCUGAUACUGAUCGUCUCGAGGGAGGUAGGGGCAUGUGGAACUUCCGGUGGAGCGGUGAAAUGCGUAGAUAUCGGAAGGAACGCCGGUGGCGAAAGCGACGUGCUGGACCUCUUCUGACGCUGAGGCGCGAAAGCCAGGGGAGCGAACGGGAUUAGAUACCCCGGUAGUCCUGGCCCUAAACGAUGGGUACUAGAUUGUGGACUUAACAUGGGUUCCCAGUCGAAGCAAAAGUGUUAAGUACCCCGCCUGGGGAGUAUGGUCGCAAGGCUGAA
rnacentral:rRNA from 1 species